UACGUAGGGAGCAAGCGUUGUCCGGAAUCAUUGGGCGUAAAGAGCUCGUAGGCGGUCUGUUGCGUCCGCUGUGAAAACUCGGGGCUUAACCCCGAGCCUGCAGUGGAUACGGGCAGACUAGAGGUAGGUAGGGGAGAAUGGAAUUCCCGGUGUAGCGGUGAAAUGCGCAGAUAUCGGGAGGAACACCGGUGGCGAAGGCAGGUCUCUGGGCAUUAACUGACGCUGAGGAGCGAAAGCAUGGGGAGCGAACAGG
rnacentral:rRNA from 1 species